UCAAGUUAUUUCCUUAGAGGAGCUAUUAUUUACAUUAAUAUGUUUAGUUGUGCAAAUCAACUUAACUUGA
rnacentral:tRNA from 1 species